GGAUAAUAUAGUUUUUUACUUAGUUAAAGAGAAGUUUUAAAGUGAGUAAAUAAGUUAUAAGUAAGGUAUCUUUACUUAUGGCUUCUGAAUUAUUUUAAGUAGUUUUAACUUAUAAUUGAAGUCAAAUACUAAUCUAUUUAGCUGUAAAAAAGAUUAGUCAAAAGAGAAAUUUUGUGGUGUUAUUUUACCAUUUUUAGUGGCAUGGUAUCAAGUAUGAGUUGAUAAUGCAAUUUGGCUGAGGGAUCAGAUGCAAUCAACACUAACUCAACUUUCCCUGCAUUACUUCCCUAGUUGUACUGUCUCCCUCCUUGUCCUCUGGCCAUCUCUUCUUUUUUCCUCCUUUGUCUAUCUUUUCCCUUUUUUUUUAUCCCUAAUUCUGUACCUGUGAUUAUAUGUGUUUAUUUAACAAUGUUAUUUAUGGCAUGAGUGAUUAGAUCAAGAGGCACCUUUUUCUUGGGCAAACUAACUCGAGCACGCAGCCAUGGUAAUAGAGAGCCUGCUUGAGCUAGUAUUUUGCUCUUCCACAAAGUGUAGGUUGCACGUGUCUUACUCUAGACAAUUUGACAACUUGAUGAUUUUCCAAUUUGAAUUUCAAUUUUCGAAAGUAAUCUUUUGGGAAUGAAAAUGCAGGCUUUGAUGCAUAAAUUAAGAAAAUAGAAAUAUUCAGCCUAUGGGAUGCUAUAUUGCUACUCCAUGUGCCUAAACCCUGGAUGAUGAAUGCUAACCCUAUAAAAUAGGAGAGAUGCAAGUAUUUUAAUGUUAUAUUACUUAUGAUUAGAUUCUUUUAGCAAUUAUUGCAGGUUGCUUGGAAUCUGAAAAAGUAGAAAAUGCAAUUUCCCGUGAUUUAAGCUAAUGUGUCUUCUAAUCAAAUCUCAAUCUCCCAUAUGAUUUAUUAAUCCCAUUUGUUGUUUGGUGUUUCUACUAGUCCUAGUUACCCUUUCUGAUUCACUUUUUGUGCUGCUCUUUUCUACUGUUUUGUCCUUCGUCUAUUGUUUGAUGAAGCAG
rnacentral:misc_RNA from 1 species